rnacentral:rRNA from 1 species
AGUGAACGCUGGCGGUAGGCCUAACACAUGCAAGUCGAACGGCAGCACAGUAAGAGCUUGCUCUUACGGGUGGCGAGUGGCGGACGGGUGAGGAAUACAUCGGAAUCUACUUUUUCGUGGGGGAUAACGUAGGGAAACUUACGCUAAUACCGCAUACGACCUACGGGUGAAAGCAGGGGAUCUUCGGACCUUGCGCGAUUGAAUGAGCCGAUGUCGGAUUAGCUAGUUGGCGGGGUAAAGGCCCACCAAGGCGACGAUCCGCAGCUGGUCUGAGAGGAUGAUCAGCCACACUGGAACUGAGGCACGGUCCAGACUCCUACGGGAGGCAGCAGUGGGGAAUAUUGGACAAAGGGCGCAAGCCUGAUCCAGCCAUACCGCGUGGGUGAAGAAGGCCUUCGGGUUGUAAAGCCCUUUUGUUGGGAAAGAAAAGCAGCAGGUUAAUACCCCGCUGUUCUGACGGUACCCAAAGAAUAAGCACCGGCUAACUUCGUG